ACGGCAGGAGCUCGAAGAGACAGUGACCAGGAUGCGAUGGAUCUUUUACUAUGUCCAGUGCCUUCCUAUGGCACCUUGUGGCAUAAAGUAACAGAACAAUAACGCCCUGCACCCCAAAAGCACAUUGAAAAGAGCAGAGGAUGUUUUCCUGGUGACAGACCACAAUCCUGGGCCCGCCCAAAACAUUUUGGUGCCUCAGAACAACAAAAUGGCACCACAACCCCACCUGCCAGGGAAGAAAAGGGGAGUGAAGAUCUGCCAGGUGAAGGAGGGCACCUCCUUGUCACCAAGAGGCAGAAUUUACGGGGAAUGCCAAGGGGGCAGCAGAUCCAGUCUGCAAGUCGUGGGUGGCGCUGCCCUGCCACAAUCCCAAGGCUGCUUUUCAAGCAUGACAUUUUCCUGGUGGUUGGGGGACAUGCAAACCACUGUGUACCUUGGGAUGUGAAGAUGAGACAAGGCAAAGACUUCCCAAUAGCUACAACAUCCAGCAAAACAGCCCUGCAUGGUCUUCAAAGAAAACUGAACAGCCUGAUUAAUUAACAUGGUUUGAUUUUCCUACACCAGUGUGGACAACAGCCUAAGGAAAUCAUCUUUGGCAACAGCCAAAUGUACUAGCUUCUUUCUAAAUCCUAUUGCAAAUCACUUUCCAUGGAGAUUUAUUUUGUGUAGGAAAAACUUGGUUCAUGACACAACCCCUCUGCCUUUCAGCAAAUGCAAUGCUCUCACUAAACAUUUCCUAAUAAACUAUAGCCUAUUUCACACAUAUAUAUUUAACAAUAAUUAUAUCCAGCCAUAUACAGCACUCAAGGCAGAUUGUUAAAACAAUCAUAUUAAUAUUUAACAACAAAAAAGCAAACAAUAAGCAACAAAGAUAGCACAUAACUUGCCUGGUGAAGCAUUCCUGCCAGUAGGACCUUCUGCUGGCAUUCCAGGGGGCUUCUGCUGGUGUAGAAGCACCCAGCCCCCUUAGCAGGGUUACGCUUCCUCUAUGCAAAUGCUGCUCAGCCAGCAAAUCUUUCGAGUUUAGGAUUUCUCUCUCUCCUGGUAUGCUUGUAAAUACUUCCCUUGUUUGGCUGCAUUUAUUCUCAGAACUGUGAGUAUAAUCUGACAUGACAGUAAUUUGGUUUCUUUUGCUGUGUUAUGGCAAAUCAAUAAAAAAAAUGAAUUGGUAGUCAUAAGCUAUGAAUUAUUGGAACAGAAAUAGGGGUUUAGGAUUUUUUCCACUAAAUAGAAUAAAUUAAAUGUUAUUUUUUUUACUUAAGCUCCAGUCUCCACUACACCGGAUUCAAAAUAUUAGCGUAAGAAAUUACAAUUCAAUUAUAUCAUUUGUAAUUAUUACAUAUACAUCUUUUAAUUGUAUAGCAAUUAUGGAUUAACAUUACUUUUCACCACACAGUGCCCAGUACCACUUUACUGGUGCCCUUUAAAAGACCCACCAGUCAUUCCUUAGACUGGCAGUUGGAGAUGCCACAACUUUUUUGUAAAAUGUUUAAAUAGCCAAGACCUCAGUUCCUCAAGAAGCAAAUAUAUUGGGAUGGGCUCUUUGACUAUAAAACAUUGAUUCUGUAAAAGCUGCCUCUUAAAUUACAUGAAAAUUCUGUGAAUUUAAGCAGGUUCUUAACAGACUGACAACCUUCAUCACAAUCUCUGACCCAAAGAGACCAAUAUUUUAAGCACAUGGGGAUGGGGGGAAAUAGUUUGUCUCACUACUCACUGCUCAUUUUAAACAGGUUUUUCUUAUAUUGCUUCAUCCAGAUUAAACAGAAUUUGUUCCUGUAAAACAAGCUGUUGAGAGGACAUGGUUUCUUUCUACUCCCACCAUGCAGCUUAAGACAACAGGAUGCCAUCGCCCAAAUCAGAAUCACUUAUGAGUGACAGGCAAUCUCAGAAACUGCUAUUUAUCAGAAGGAAAGAAUAGAAUCACAGAAUGGCAGAGUUGGAAGGGAUCAUCUAGUUCAACCCCCUGCAAUGCAAUAAUUUCAACAAGAUCAUACACGACACCUAUGCUUGAAAACUUGCCAGGAAGGAGAGUCCACCACCUCUCGUUGGAGCCUGUUCCACUGUCAAACUAAAAUUUUACUAUUUGCAUAUCCAGGAUGUGUUCUGGGUCUGGGUGUGUGGACUUCCUUAAUUCCGAAUAGAGGCCAUUGACUCACCUAUGGCCAUGACUCACCAUUGACUCACCUACGACUACAGGACAUAUUGUGCAGAGGCUGGGAAGCCAUCUUUCAGACAGAAGAAAUGCAUGGAUCCUUGCGCCAUGGUUCUAGACUGGGGAUGCUAGGAGCCAUGGGAUCUGAAAUAAAGAGCAGUUGCUUUAUCCUUUUGGCUAUGCCUGGUAUAGAGCGACACAUGGGCUAGCUGGCCAUGUUCAUCCUAGUUAUUAAAGUGCUACAAGACUCUUUGUUGUUCAUGAUAGUAAGUUCAGUAUGGCUCUGCACCUGAAUCAGCACAUGUAAUCAAUCUUUGCCACGGGAGCCAUGAGCCUUUUCCUACAGCAACUACUGUACUGUUAUUUUUAAGCUGCCUUUCUACUGGAUCCUGCACUCGGGGUGACUUACCAGCAGU